ACGAACGCUGGCGGCAUGCCUAACACCUGCAGGUCGAACGAGACCUUCGGGUCUAGUGGCGCACGGGUGCGUAACGCGUGGGAACCUGCCCUUAGGUUCGGAAUAACUCCCCGAAAGGGGUGCUAAUACCGGAUAAUGUCUUCGGACCAAAGAUUUAUCGCCUUUGGAUGGGCCCGCGUUGGAUUAGCUAGUUGGUAGGGUAAAAGCCUACCAAGGCGACGAUCCAUAGCUGGUCUGAGAGGAUGAUCAGCCACACUGGGACUGAGACACGGCCCAGACUCCUACGGGAGGCAGCAGUGGGGAAUAUUGGACAAUGGGCGAAAGCCUGAUCCAGCAAUGCCGCGUGAGUGAUGAAGGCCUUAGGGUUGUAAAGCUCUUUUACCCGGGAUGAUAAUGACAGUACCGGGAGAAUAAGCUCCGGCUAACUCCGUG
rnacentral:rRNA from 1 species